AUGUCACCCAUCACCAAUCAUUUGCUUUCAUCCCUUAAAACUUCCAUACAAUGGCAACCACGCCAUGAGGACAAAAGCUGGAGCAGAGAGGGAAAAGAGGCAAGCAGCAGCAGCAGCAGUUGGGCUAAGCUUGUCCUGCGGGGUCCUUCCAGGUGUGCCCUACACCUCGGGCUGACGGUGGGCAUUGCUCUCCUGCUUCUGCUUCCCCUGGUGGCACAGCUUCGCUCCCCAUCACAGGAUUUUACCAAGAAUGAAGUUGCACAAUACACAGGGCAGUCGACUACACAUGGAAUAACUGUCAAGAAUGAACAGAAAUUCGUAUCGUGACAAGGAUCUAUUGCCUGAAAACAGGGGAUAUUCAUAUGCAAGUUACUUGGAAGUACUGGAUGCCUCACAUGAUAAUGUUUUGAGUCUUCAAGAUACUAACCACCUGAACUUUUUAGCAAUUUCAAACAAGAAACUGGUGAGCUGGAUUCAGUUGUCCCUAUGCUUCUAUAGGGACAGCUGUUGUAUGGAUAAGGCAUUUUUUCUGUACGAGAAAAGCAGAAUUUACACACUGGGCUGA
ensembl:lncRNA